AGUUCUUCUUGUUGCCGAUGAAUGUUUGCCUCUAUCAUCCGUGUCCGCUGCUCCAGCUGGUCUUUUAGAUGCUGCAUGGCUCCUAACUGCGCUGAAAACUGAAACUGAAGCGGCACAUGUGAACAAGAGAACAAAGUGAAAAGCUGAGCAAGAACAACACAGUAAGCGGCACCAUCAAAGCACAGAUGUCAUCCCAAAUGUCCUAAGGAACAGAAAAAGAAUUGGACAACCACUCAUCUGCAAUCCUUUAAAUGACUGGCACGUCUUUUCAAGGAGACUACUCCUAUAAUCCAAAGCUAUGGCCAUAGUGAAGUUCAAAAAAGAAGAAAAGCUGCCUUCAGAUAUCAACAGCCACUCUGUGUACAACUGUAUUUGCAAAAUUCUUAAAGAACUGGAGUCAUCAUACAGUGAAUUAUAUGUAGCCAUAAUUAAACAAGCUGGUUAAUUUCUGACUUAUAUCUAUAAAACCCUGAGGAUCUAAGCAAUUCAAUGAAAUAAUAUAAAAGAUUCUGUUCACCAGCUCUAGACACUAUUAACCGUAAGAUUUACAAGAAAGGAAGAAGAGAGGGAGGUAGGGAGGAAGGAAGGAAGGAAGGAAGCUACCAAAUAAAGCCUGAGAAGUAAAUUUUAACACCCAUGAAAUGUUAGAGGUGUUAAAAUGAAAACAGCAACUAUAACAAUACAACCUUAAGAAACAAGGCCGGAGAGGAAGUCCAGAGGUAUAGCACUUGACUAGUAUACAUUAAUAGGCUUUGGUUGUCAUUCCCAGCACCCCCCUCCAAAAAAAAAAAAAAAAAAGAAAAAGAAAGGUUUUUACAGUCAAAGAAAUAAAUAAGGAAGUUUAUCUUUUCCCCAAGACUCAUAUGUAAAGAUUAAAAACUAACUAAUGAACUAACGAUCCUAAUUACAUUUAUGAAUUAUCAGUCACAAGGGCUAAGAUGCUUGCAGAGAUAGAGGUAGCACCAAUAGACUCCACCCAAGAGUCUAAAAGGGGCCAGAGAAUCAUUCAUAAACAUUAUUGUUUUUUCAGAACAGUUGACUAAAACUCCCAAAAUUACGAAUAAAUACUCAUUUGUAACAUAAACUCUAAGAUAGUCACUUUUGGCUUUUAAAACUA